rnacentral:rRNA from 1 species
AGCGAACGCUGGCGGCAGGCUUAACACAUGCAAGUCGAGCGGGCACUUUCGGGUGUCAGCGGCGGACGGGUGAGUAACGCGUGGGAACGUGCCCUCUGGUUCGGAAUAACUCAGGGAAACUUGAGCUGAUACCGGAUACGCCCUUUUGGGGAAAGGCUUGCUGCCGGAGGAUCGGCCCGCGUCUGAUUAGCUAGUUGGUGAGGUAACGGCUCACCAAGGCGACGAUCAGUAGCUGGUCUGAGAGGAUGAUCAGCCACACUGGGACUGAGACACGGCCCAGACUCCUACGGGAGGCAGCAGUGGGGAAUAUUGGACAAUGGGCGCAAGCCUGAUCCAGCCAUGCCGCGUGAGUGAUGAAGGCCUUAGGGUUGUAAAGCUCUUUUAUCCGGGACGAUAAUGACGGUAUCGGAGGAAUAAGCCCCGGCUAACUUCGUG